AAAGAUAAAAUAGGAUUAAUAAUAAUAAGGAAAGGGUAAGAUGAGAAAAAAUAAUAAGGUAACUACGUAAUCACUCUAAAUCGAUCGCUCCAUAAAGUGACACUUUUUAUCUUUAGGUAACGACGAAUUUAACAAUAUGAUAAAAUAAAAUUUAAGUAACAACCAAAACAAAUAUUAUAUUUAAAAUAACAAUACCAUAUAAUAGAAUAGGUAACAACCAUCCAAACAAGUUGUUAGUUGUUUAGAAGAAAACUUUUCUACGUAGCAGAUGAGGGAGAAUAUCUAGCUAAUUGAAGUUUUUAGUCUGCAAGGGACCAAAUGGAAAAACUACACAGUAUAGUCCCUCCAAAAAGUAAUAGCCGUAAUAUAUAUGUGUGUAACUUGCCUUUAUUGUUUGUUCUUUCUAUUCCAACUUGUUUGGUCAAGCUUAUUUUUAAUCAAAAGUAUUUUUUUUGGUCAAAAGUAUUUUUUAACUUUAAGACAACUAGGGGUGUGCAAUCGAUUUAUCGAUUCGAUUUUGACCCUUAUCGAUAAUUACUUAUC
rnacentral:lncRNA from 1 species